UACGUAGGGUGCAAGCGUUAAUCGGAAUUACUGGGCGUAAAGCGUGCGCAGGCGGUGAUGUAAGACAGAUGUGAAAAUCCCCGGGCUCAACCUGGGAACUGCAUUUGUGACUGCAUCGCUGGAGUGCGGCAGAGGGGGGAUGGAAUUCCGCGUGUAGCAGUGAAAUGCGUAGAUAUGCGGAGGAACACCGAUGGCGAAGGCAAUCCCCUGGGCCUGCACUGGACGCUCAUGCACGAAAGCGUGGGGAGCAAACAGG
rnacentral:rRNA from 1 species